rnacentral:rRNA from 1 species
UACGAAGGGGGCUAGCGUUGCUCGGAAUCACUGGGCGUAAAGGGUGCGUAGGCGGGUCUUUAAGUCAGGGGUGAAAUCCUGGAGCUCAACUCCAGAACUGCCUUUGAUACUGAAGAUCUUGAGUUCGGGAGAGGUGAGUGGAACUGCGAGUGUAGAGGUGAAAUUCGUAGAUAUUGCAAGAACACCAGUGGCGAAGGCGGCUCACUGGCCCGAUACUGACGCUGAGGCACGGAAAGCGAUGGGGAGCAAACAGG